rnacentral:rRNA from 1 species
CACACCGCCCGUCACACCAUGGGAGUUGGCUUUACCCGAAGACGGUGCGCUAACCAGCAAUGGAGGCAGCCGGCCACGGUAAGGUCAGCGACUGGGGUG